rnacentral:rRNA from 1 species
UGCAGUCGAGCGGCAGCGGGAAAGUAGCUUGCUACUUUUGCCGGCGAGCGGCGGACGGGUGAGUAAUGCCUGGGAAAUUGCCCAGUCGAGGGGGAUAACAGUUGGAAACGACUGCUAAUACCGCAUACGCCCUACGGGGGAAAGCAGGGGACCUUCGGGCCUUGCGCGAUUGGAUAUGCCCAGGUGGGAUUAGCUAGUUGGUGAGGUAAUGGCUCACCAAGGCGACGAUCCCUAGCUGGUCUGAGAGGAUGAUCAGCCACACUGGAACUGAGACACGGUCCAGACUCCUACGGGAGGCAGCAGUGGGGAAUAUUGCACAAUGGGGGAAACCCUGAUGCAGCCAUGCCGCGUGUGUGAAGAAGGCCUUCGGGUUGUAAAGCACUUUCAGCGAGGAGGAAAGGUCAGUAGCUAAUAUCUGCUGGCUGUGACGUUACUCGCAGAAGAAGCACCGGCUAACUCCGUGCCAGC